rnacentral:lncRNA from 10 species
AUUUUUCUCUAGUGGUUUAAUGCUUCCUCCAAGAAUGUUCCAACAAAGUAUUUGUUUGGUAAACUUUGAAAGGUCUUGGAUGCUAAGAAUAUUUUUAUUUCAGUGUCAUUCAAAUGAUAGUUUAUUGGUAUAAAAUUCUAGCUUCAGAGUUUCUUUUUUUCUUCCACACAACCACAGUAUUACCUAUUAUCAUCUCAUAUCUAAUAAUCCUGUUGAAAGACCUUUAAUAAUAUGGUCUUCGUACUUUCCUGGUUCUGCUUGUCUUCUAACAAUGUGUUUCAGUUUUCUUUAUGUAUCUGAUGAUCUGACGUUUCGUGACAGGGUGAUUAAAUGUGAUUUCAUUUUUCAUAUCUCUCCUGCUUAGUGCUUUAUGCACUUUAAUUUUGAAUCUUCCAUCUUUAGUUCUAGAAAUGUCAGUUAAUAUGUCUUCAAAUAUUCCCUCCCUUCCUUUUAUUUUGUCCUGCCUAAGAGGGCCUAUUCUAUUAUUUGGACACUCCUCUUUUAAUCUUCCAAGCCUCUCAAAUUUUUAAAAAUUUAUUCUUAUCUGUUUAUUAUUUUCUGGGGCUUUGUGGGUGAGUUCCCUGAUUGGACUAACGGGCUUCCCAGUUCGUUUCUCAGCAGAACCCGUUCAGUCAUCCAGCCCCUGUGUGGGGUUCUUUAACUAUUCAAUCUUUUAUUACAUCAACUCUCUAAUUGGCUCUUUUUCUAUUUUAUAUUUCUAAUAUGUCUUAUUUUCUCUUUGCCUAUUAUAAUUUUUAUUGUUUAAUCUAUUCUUAUUUCUCUGGGAUGACUGUACAGUUGUCAUUCAUUUCUAAAUCUUGCGCCCUGCAGUUUUUACUGUCCCAUGUAUUUUGCAGGAGAGAGAAAGCAGUAUACCUGGAACAUUCCUUGCAGUCUAACAUGAGCUUUCCUUUCUAACCUGUCCUCUUUCCAUAGCUGUCUUCCCAUUACACAUGGCUGUGUGCUGCUUGAGUGUGCAUUCCUCUUACCUCCUCCAAAACCAACCCCCUAGCCACCUUCUGCUGCUUCAAGAGUUUCUCAAAGGUGUGUUUCUUUUUUUUUCUUUCUAUUUUGGUGUAUGCAUCAGUACUGGGAUUAUUGAAAUGCAUGUCAAAUCUGUAACAUCUCUAGGUUUGGCUUUAAGAGAGGAAGACAGGCCCUGAUGCCAAGCUGCCAUCUUAUCUGACACUUGCAAUUCUGCUUUAGUUCUGUAUCUUACGACGGAGCUCGUGGCUGGGAAGAUGGGAUCCAGGAAUGGGUGUGGAGUGUGCCCCAGACGACCCCAGAAUGUUCGAGGGGCAGGUCUCAUAUUUUCUAUUUUGAUGUCUCAGAAACUGCCAUGAGCUGCUAGAGGCUUCUGUUCUCUUUUCUCUAAUUUUCUUCAUUGUCAACUGUGACCCUGUUGAUUUCUAUGGAUAUCUACAUUGUCCUAUCCAGAGUGACUCUAGAACUACCCAUGUGUGACAAAUACAUCACAUAAACAGUAGGAGUCUCUUCUGGGUGUGCAUAGGUCCUCUUUUGACACCAACUUUCUCUUUAGCUUCUCAAUUAAGAGCAUCAAAUGUAUGGCAUUCAGGUCACGAUCACUCUAAAACUUGUGUUCAUUGAACGCCAUCAGUACUUAACCUUUGAUCCUUGCUAGAUUUUUCUAUAUCAUGAAAGAUAAGCUAAUGAAUGCUAAUGAAGCUAAUGAAUGAAUUACUUAAUAUAGGAAUGAAUAAGUGCAUUAAUAAAAUGCUAUUUGCUGUAGUAUUGCUUCCCAGAGGAUUAUAUCAUUUUAUGAAUUGUUGGUUAUAGCCUUAAAACCUAAGGAAAAUUUCACUCUCAUCCUGGAACAUGCUCCUUCAAGAUCGUCCAUAAGUUGCCUGUGGAGCAUCUGCAACCUUUUCUUGAUUUUAAAAUGUUUAGUUCAUUUAAUCAUGAAUUCAGUAUUCAGCAUUUUCUCAGUGAAGAUAUAAUGAUGGCAACUCUAUGUUUUUGUUCACUCCAUUCUCUUUAUUUGGGUCCCCCUCUACUUCUCAGAGUUCAUCCAGACUCCCCCAUUUUCUGAGGUUGGCACAUAAUCCCCUUGGGGUGAGAUGUUCAGUAACACAGGGGACUGUCGAGUCCCCAAGCCGCUCUGUGUUCCCAGGAGCCCUCCGUGUGCCAGGGCAGGAGUGGAGAGCUGGCCACGUCCUCUUCUCUGUUAUUCUUUGCUUUAAGCACACAAAAACAGUUCUGCUUCGUCUAUUUCUUGCUGGGAGUUCAGAGCCAUAUAUUCCCAUUUAACAUCUCUCAGCCUCCUUGUAAUUCAGAUAAAUCCAAGUGAGAGUCAUCAUGCUAUACUCCAUUCAUCCAUUUAUUCAUUCCAGAAACCACUUACUGAACCUUCUAGGUGUUAGCCAUUGGGUCAGCUCUAUAGGAUACAAUGAUGAUACAGUAGAUAGUGUCAAAAAAAAAAAA